CAGAGUUCGUGCCCUCACGGGUAGAUCUCCCACCCUUGUGUGUUCCUUACAUUUGUUGCUUUGGCAGGCCGUUGGUUCGCCAACCACCGGCUCGCGGGCUGGUGCGUGCCUGCCGGAGGACCUCUCAAACUCGGUUUGUUAGUGUCGUCUGAGUAUCAUAACAAUCGUUA
rnacentral:misc_RNA from 1 species